CAGCAGGCGCGAAAACUUUACAAUGCGGGAAACCGUGAUAAGGGGACACCGAGUGCCAGCAUCAUAUGCUGGCUGUCCGGGUGUGUAAAAUACACCCGUUAGCAAGGGCCGGGCAAGACCGGUGCCAGCCGCCGCGGUAACACCGGCGGCCCGAGUGGUGAUCGUGAUUAUUGGGUCUAAAGGGUCCGUAGCCGGUUUGGUCAGUCCUCCGGGAAAUCUGACGGCUCAACCGUUAGGCUUUCGGGGGAUACUGCCAGGCUUGGAACCGGGAGAGGUAAGAGGUACUACAGGGGUAGGAGUGAAAUCUUGUAAUCCCUGUGAGACCACCUGUGGCGAAGGCGUCUUACCAGAACGGGUUCGACGGUGAGGGACGAAAGCUGGGGGCACGAACCGGAUUAGAUACCCGGGUAGUCCCAGCCGUAAACGAUGCUCGCUAGGUGUCAGGCAUGGCGCGACCGUGUCUGGUGCCGCAGGGAAGCCGUGAAGCGAGCCACCUGGGAAGUACGGCCGCAAGGCUGAAACUUAAAGGAAUUGGCGGGGGAGCAC
rnacentral:rRNA from 1 species